UAUGAGACACCUCUUCUAGUACGAAAGGACCGAAGAAGUAGGGCCAAUACCACAAGCACGCCCUCCCUCUAAGUAGUGAACCCAACUCAACUACCAAGAGGUUAAUACCCCACAAUAUCGUCCAAGAAAAGGAUGCC
rnacentral:rRNA from 1 species